UACGUAAGGGGCGAGCGUUGUUCGGAAUUAUUGGGUGUAAAGGGCGCGUAGGCGGUUUUACAAGUCCGGUGUAUAAGGCAACAGCUUAACUGUUGUUUUGCGCUGGAAACUGUGAGACUUGAGUUUAGGAGGGGGAGCUGGAAUUCCAGGUGUAGGGGUGAAAUCUGUAGAUAUCUGGAAGAACACCGGUGGCGAAGGCGAGCUCCUAGCCAUAGACUGACGCUGAGGCGCGAAAGCGUGGGGAGCGAACAGG
rnacentral:rRNA from 2 species